rnacentral:tRNA from 1 species
CGGGGUGUAGCGCAGUCCGGUCAGCGCAUCGGUUUUGGGAACCGAGGGUCGGAGGUUCAAAUCCUCUCACCCCGACCA